rnacentral:piRNA from 1 species
UCCCGGCCAAUGCACAGAUACAC